rnacentral:rRNA from 1 species
GGGUUGUGAGGUUAAGCGACUAAGCGUACACGGUGGAUGCCCUGGCAGUCAGAGGCGAUGAAGGACGUGCUAAUCUGCGAUAAGCGUCGGUAAGGUGAUAUGAACCGUUAUAACCGGCGAUUUCCGAAUGGGGAAACCCAGUGUGAUUCGUCACACUAUCAUUAACUGAAUCCAUAGGUUAAUGAGGCGAACCGGGGGAACUGAAACAUCUAAGUACCCCGAGGAAAAGAAAUCAACCGAGAUUCCCCCAGUAGCGGCGAGCGAACGGGGAGGAGCCCAGAGCCUGAAUCAGUGUGUGUGUUAGUGGAAGCGUUUGGAAAGGCGCGCGAUACAGGGUGACAGCCCCGUACACAAAAAUGCACA